UACGAAGGGGGCUAGCGUUGCUCGGAAUCACUGGGCGUAAAGGGCGCGUAGGCGGCGUUUUUAAGGUCGGGGGUGAAAGCCUGUGGCUCAACCACAGAAUGGCCUUCGAUACUGGGACGCUUGAGUAUGGUAGAGGUUGGUGGAGCUGCGAGUGUAGAGGUGAAAUUCGUAGAUAUUCGCAAGAACACCGGUGGCGAAGGCGACACGCUGGGCCGUACCUGACACUGAUGCGCGACAGCAUGGGGAGCAAACAGG
rnacentral:rRNA from 1 species